rnacentral:rRNA from 1 species
UACGGGGGGAGCAAGCGUUGUUCGGAUUUACUGGGCGUAAAGGGCGCGUAGGCGGCCACCGCAAGUCGACUGUGAAAUCUCCGGGCUUAACCCGGAAAGGUCAGCCGAUACUGCGGGGCUAGAGUGCAGAAGGGGCAACUGGAAUUCUCGGUGUAGCGGUGAAAUGCGUAGAUAUCGAGAGGAACACCUGCGGCGAAGGCGGGUUGCUGGGCCGACACUGACGCUGAGGCGCGAAAGCGUGGGGAGCAAACAGG